rnacentral:rRNA from 1 species
CGGAUGAAGGGAGCUUGCUCCUGGAUUCAGCGGCGGACGGGUGAGUAAUGCCUGGGAAUCUGCCUGGUAGUGGGGGAUAACGUCCGGAAACGGGCGCUAAUACCGCAUACGUCCUGAGGGAGAAAGUGGGGGAUCUUCGGACCUCACGCUAUCAGAUGAGCCUAGGUCGGAUUAGCUAGUUGGUGGGGUAAAGGCCUACCAAGGCGACGAUCCGUAACUGGUCUGAGAGGAUGAUCAGUCACACUGGAACUGAGACACGGUCCAGACUCCUACGGGAGGCAGCAGUGGGGAAUAUUGGACAAUGGGCGAAAGCCUGAUCCAGCCAUGCCGCGUGUGUGAAGAAGGUCUUCGGAUUGUAAAGCACUUUAAGUUGGGAGGAAGGGCAGUAAGUUAAUACCUUGCUGUUUUGACGUUACCAACAGAAUAAGCACCGGCUAACUUCGUGCCAGCAGCCGCGGUAAUACGAAGGGUGCAAGCGUUAAUCGGAAUUACUGGGCGUAAAGCGCGCGUAGGUGGUUCAGCAAGUUGGAUGUGAAAUCCCCGGGCUCAACCUGGGAACUGCAUCCAAAACUACUGAGCUAGAGUACGGUAGAGGGUGGUGGAAUUUCCUGUGUAGCGGUGAAAUGCGUAGAUAUAGGAAGGAACACCAGUGGCGAAGGCGACCACCUGGACUGAUACUGACACUGAGUGCGAAAGCGUGGGGAGCAAACAGGAUUAGAUACCCUGGUAGUCCACGCCGUAACGAUGUCGACUAGCCCGUUUGGGAUCCAUGAGAUCUAGUGGGCCGCAGCUAACGCGAUUAGUUCGAACCGGCCUGGGGGAGUUACGAUCGCAAGGUCAAACU